rnacentral:lncRNA from 1 species
CAUGCGGUGUUUGGUUUUUUGUCCUUGCGAUAGACUGCUGAGAAUGAUGGUUUCCAGCUUCAUCCAUGUCCCUACAAAGGGCAUGGUCUCAUCAUUUUUCAGUCUUUGCUAUUGUGAAUAGUACCACAAUAAACAUACGUGUGCAUGUGUCUUUAUAGCAGCAUGAUUUAUAAUCCUUUGGGUAUAUACCCAGUAAUGGGAUGGCUGGGUCAAAAGGUAUUUCUAGUUCUAGAUCCCUGAGGAAUCGCCACACUGCCUUCCACAAUGGUUGAACUAGUUUACAGUCCCACCAACAGUGUAAAAGUGUUCCUAUUUCUCCACAUCCUCUCCAGCACCUGUUGUUUCCUGACUUUUUAAUGAUCGCCAUUCUAACUGGUGUGAGAUGGUAUCUCAUUGUGGUUU